GAUGAACGCUGGCGGCGUGCUUAACACAUGCAAGUCGAACGAUGAAGCCCAGCUUGCUGGGUGGAUUAGUGGCGAACGGGUGAGUAACACGUGGGUAACCUGCCCUUAACUCUGGGAUAAGCCUGGGAAACUGGGUCUAAUACCGGAUAGGAGCGUCCACCGCAUGGUGGGUGUUGGAAAGAUUUAUCGGUUUUGGAUGGACUCGCGGCCUAUCAGCUUGUUGGUGAGGUAAUGGCUCACCAAGGCGACGACGGGUAGCCGGCCUGAGAGGGUGACCGGCCACACUGGGACUGAGACACGGCCCAGACUCCUACGGGAGGCAGCAGUGGGGAAUAUUGCACAAUGGGCGCAAGCCUGAUGCAGCGACGCCGCGUGAGGGAUGACGGCCUUCGGGUUGUAAACCUCUUUCAGUAGGGAAGAAGCGAAAGUGACGGUACCUGCAGAAGAAGCACCGGCUAACUACGUG
rnacentral:rRNA from 1 species